CCAUAGUUUUCAUCAGUUUUCCAAAUGGCUUUCUAAGUGCCAAUCCUGACCUAGAGUUAUAGUCAAGCUACCUCUACCACCAUUUAUCAGAUACUUUGAAGGAUUUGUCUCUACUUCCAAGUAGAUAUGGUUCAGAUAUUCCUCAAAACACCUCUCUCUUCCAAGCCAAAUGAGCAGGUUGAACUAACCCUUUAGCUAUGAAAAGGAUUACUUCUAACCAAAAGAAUACUGGGCAUCAAGCUGUCUGGGUACUCAAGAAAGUCAAUCCACCAGAUUUUCUAUGGAAAAGUACCAAGCGCUACAGAGAGCUGGAGUGGGAGGAGGAGCAGGAGGAGGGGGAAAUAUUAAAAUGUAGAAACACAGAAAAAAUGAUUGCUGAUCUCUAUGCAUACUAGACAAGGUUACUUCCAGAAGGGACUAAAGAGCGCUCAGGGGAAAUAGAACACAUUAAUAAAGACAAUCUUUAAAAGGACGUGUUCCCCAACCUUUCAGCAAUAACACUGCCUGAACAUGAAAACAGCUGAGGAGCAGAGGCUCCAGGAGAAGUUUUCCAGUGACUGAUGGAACGUAACCCUGAAUGUCUACCUUGGCAAUUCUUGAGAUUGGGGUUCUUCAGGCUUCAUCCUGGCUUAUUUCCCUGCUGGGAAUCAAAGAUUGUUCCUUAUGCCUAUGUGGAAACAUAAAAAUUGUGGCAUAUACCUUUGCAAAUACAAGAGAAAUAUUUUUAACAAAAACAAGGUAAGCUUUUUUUUUUUUUGAGACAGAGUUUUGCUCUUGUGUUGGCCUAGACCAGAGUGCAAUAGAGCAAUCUCGGCUCACUGCAACCUCCGCCUCCAGGGUUCAAGCAAUUCUCCUGCCUAAGCCUCCCACGUAGCUGCCACCCGUCUGCCACCACACCUGACUAAUUUUUGUAUUUUUAGUAGAGACGGGGUUUCAACAUGUUGGCCAGGCUGGUCUCGAACUCCUGACUUCAGGUGAUCCGUCCGUCUCAGCCUCCCAAAGCGCUGGGAUUACAGGUGUGGGCCUCUGCACCCGGCCAAGGUGAGCUCUUUAAAAUGUAUCACUCAAAACAAAGAUAAAACCCCAAAUCACCACUUAAAUGGCAAUCAUCCUGAACUCUUCCAGAAAAACUGCGAUGAAAAACUGAAUAGAACAGAAAAAUAAACUUUUAGAAGUAGAGUCUACUUAGGUAGGAGUUGUACAUGUUGGAAUAACCGGCAGACAGUAAAGGGCCUAGAAGUUCAAAUAACAAGAAUCUCCUUUAAUUCUUUUUCAGAUAGUACCUAACAAGGAAAAAAAAAAAACCAGUGCAAUUUGAAAGCCAAGAAAUCCAGUGACUGAGACAUGUUUGAGCUGUUCUGCUUUUUUUUUUCUUUACUGUCCAAAAAAAGAGAAAGGUUAUGAACAUUCAGAAAGAAAUCUCUGCAGUGGGAUUUAUUCAACAAAGCGAACUUGGGAGAGAAUUGGCUCUUAAUUCUGAUAAUCAACAACUCACUCAACUCCCUAUCUAUUUGUCCCACACCUCACUAUGGAAGCCAAGGAACCUAGCUUCUUUAUAGAAAAGUGCACUCUAACGCUUACUCCUCCAAUGAGGCCCUUCAAGUCCAGAAAACAGACUCUUACCUUUCUGACUAACCAAGUGCAACAGAAGGCCAUUUCCUUAAAUGGUCACCAAAAUUAUCAAGUGCAUUCUGCUUGAAGGGUAACAGAAUGGGCUAGGUCUCAAAAGAAGAGUGAAUUGAAGGUCCUUAUGGUGCCACCAAACAGAUGGCAAAAGGAAGAGUAGGUGAUGUUUUUCCAGCUGCAGCCUAGCUUUGGGAGGGCUAGAUUACACUUAAGUAAAAAGUUCUUACUUUUGUCAAUAAUAUUACAGAAAUGUCUGUGUAAACUACUGUUUGGAAUUCCCAUAUCAUCUACUAUGGUGAGUAACUCAUCCCAAGUGCUUACAGUGAAGUCUGCUUCUGACUUAUUACUUAACGAGAAAGCAUAAACAAGAAUUGAACAGCACAUAUACCCAAGAGGAACAUCUAGGGAUGGUACUAUUUAACUUAUACACAGUCCUGUGGAUCAGAUUAAAACAUGGAUGGAUGAAGAAUAAAGACUCAGGGCUGGUGCAGUGGCUCACACCUGUAAUCCCAAAACUUUGGGAGGCUGGGUGAGUGGAUCACCUGACAUCAGGAGUUUGAGACCAGUCUGAACAACAUGAAGAAAACCCCCCACCAAAACAUCUCUACCAAAAACACAAAAACAGCCAGGCAUGGUAGCGCAUGCCUGUAUUCCCAGCUGCUCAGGAGGUUGAGGCAGGAGAAUCGCUUGAACUCAAGAGGCUGAGGUUGUGGUGAGCUGAAAUUGCGCCAUUGCACUCCAGCCUGGGCAGCAAGAGUAAAACUCUGUCUCAAAAAAAAAAAGAAUAAAGACUCAAACAAAUCAACUCAAUAGCUCACUCAUGGAGAGGAGGGAAAGCAGAGCUAUACCUAAGCACAAAUAAAUAUGGAAUGUGUGCUACAAACUAAAAUGCAGUAAUUAACAUCUUAAGGUAAUCCUGGAGGAAAUUAGAAGAACACAGUGAAGACUGUAUAUGGGUGAAGUUGAGUAAUAAAAGUGUUAUUACCCAAUCCAAGGAGCUCAUCCUCCAGGUCUCAGCUCAAAUGUCACUCCUUUAAGGACUUCCAGGAUCAUUCUAUCUGGCCCCAUUACCUUUUUAAUUUUAUUCAAUUACCACUGUCUGAAACUACUUACUUUUUGUUUUCUUAUUCUAGAAUUUAAGUUCAAGAGAACAGAGACCUUAUCUGUACUGUUCACCUAGCAUAAUGCCUGAUACAUUCAGAUACUUAAUAUAUAUUUGUUGAAAAUAAGAUAAGCUUCUAUCACAGAAGGACUAAUAGUCCAGUAGCAAAAGAGAUUACAAUAACAAGCAAAGAGCUAGGGGAACAAAGCUCUACAGCUGUCAAAUUUGGGGAGGCUGCACUGGGGAAACAACACUGGAUUUGAGUCUUGAAGAAAUGCUAUACCUAACUCCUUAAGGCUCAUAAAUUGUUGGCUGGGCACAGUGGUUCAAGCCAGUAAUCCUAGCACUUUGGGGGGCUGAGGCAGGCGGAUCACUUGAGGUCAGUAAUUCGAGACCAGCCUGGCCAACAUGGCAAAACCCCAUCUCUACUAAAAAUACAAAAAUUAGCUUGGUAUGAUGAUGCACACCUGUAAUCCCAGCUACUCAGGAGACUGAGGCCCGAGAAUCACUUGAAUCCAGGAGGUAGAAGUUGCAGUGAGCCAAGAUUGUGCCACUGCACUCUAGCCUGGGCAACAGAGCAAGACUCUGUCUCAAAAACAGAAAAAAUUGUCAUGGUGCUUUACAUCUUCAUGCCUUUAAUAAUAACAAUAAGAAAAAAAGAGACUACAUUUAUUGAAUGUUUUCUAUAUUCCAAAUACUAUGUUGUUUUGGCAUGUAUUAUCUCAUUUAAUCCUUAUAAUAAUGCUAUAUAGUAGAUGCUUUUAUUGUCACCAUUUCACAACCGAGGAGACAAGUAUGGACAGGAUAAGUGACUGACCCAAGAUCAGAGCUCGUAAGACACAGAGCUAACACCUGAAUCCAGGUACCUUUGCAUGCUUUAUCUGAAAUGCCCUUAUCUUCACAGGCUUGUUGAAUGUACUCUUAUUAACCCCGAACUGCCUUGUAGGUCAAGAAUCCCUGCUUCUAUAAAACUUUGUGAAGAAGUGGGCAAAAAUGACCACAGGAUAAAUUUGGGACAAAUGUUUAGAGUAAUUGAGUUGUACAAUAAUAUGAAUAACUAAAUGUACAUCUGAGUUAAAGUGUAUAGAUUGAUUUUUCAUAAGUAAGAACUAUGAUCUGGACUUAAUCAAGUAACAGAUAAUGAUCAAUAUUGAUGGAGGCAUUUUUUAUUAGCGUAGAACUACAGCUCACUGGUUCUACUAUUCUUCCCUUUUCCUAAAACAAAGCAGAGAAAAGACCUUGAAAUGAGAGAGGGUUUUACAGAGAGGUCACCUCUGCCCCACAGGACCACCAGAGCAUCUUACAUAGCCCUACCUCAUUAGUAAGGAAGCUUUAUUGCUAGUAUGAAAAUAAAUCAUGGCUGUUCAGUACAGAAUUAGGUUGGCAUUCGAUUUCUUUUUGAAACAGAAUCUCACGCUAUUGUCCAGGCUGGAGUACAGUGGUGCGAUCUCAGCUCACUGCAACCUCCACCUCCCAGGUUCAAACGAUUCUCCCUCCUCACUCAGCUACUUGUGCCACUACCCCUGGCUAUUUUUUUUUUUGGUAGAGAAGAGGUUUCACCAUGUUGGCCAGGCUAGUCUCAAACUCACUUACCUCAGGUGGUGCUCUUGCCUCAGCCUCCCAAAGUGUUAGGAUUACAGAUAUGAGCCACUGCGCCCAGCCUGGCAUAUGCUCUUAGAUUUGUAUAUACAAACCUCAUAUUUUAUCCCUUGGUUCAGAUUUAGGUCUCUACAUAAAGAUUAUUCUUAGCAUAAAAGUUUUUCUGGGUUUAUGACAAUAUUUCUAAUUUUUAAAGCCUAUACAUAGUAAACCUAGAAGGAAUCAAAACAUUUUCAAGAUGAAAGGAGCCUUUGAAUUUGUCCAGUCAAUCAUGUCUUUUUAUAGUGAAGAAGUUGAGACCCAGGAAUUUUAAAUCACUUGCCCAAACAUGACAUAAUUAGAAAAGAUAAAAGUUAUGAGGAAAGAAACUCAGCCCCCAACUCUUCCUAGCUAUAAAGAGAAAACUAUCUGACAACAGAGUAUUUUCUGGUGGAAAGAGACAAAAAAUAGCAAAACAGCUUAGGUUAGUGUGUUUUCACUUUUUAGGGCCAUGGGACCCUACCCCUCCUUUUUUUUUUUUUUUUUGAGACAGAGUCUUGCUCUGUUGCCCAGGUUGAAGUGUAGUGGUGCAGUUUUGGUUCACUGCAACCUCUGCCUCCCAGGUUCAAGCAACUCUCUUGCCUCAGCCUUCCCAGUAGCUGGGAUUACAGGCGAGUGCCAGCAUGCCCAGCUAAUUUUUGCAUUUUUAGUAAAGAUGGGGUUUCACCAUGUUGGCCAUGCUGGUCUUGAACUCCUGACCUCGUGAUCCACCAAUCUCAGCCUCCCAAAGUGCUGGGAUUACAGGUGUGAGCCACCACGCCCAGCUAGGACCUUCCCUUCCUUAGAAAAUCUUAUUAAAGUCACAGACUCUCUUCUCUCUAGAAUCUAGGAAGUCUAGAAUAAGCAUAUACUCAAACAAAAUUUGGUAUACAAUUUCAAAGAUUCAUCGAUCCAUUCAGGUUAACAAUCCUUGGCCUAGGCGAAGAAAAUAAAUCCUGGGAACCCUCCAAACAGCUAUGGAACUGGAGGGGAAGGGACAGAAACAAAGGCUUUUUUUUUUUGAGACAGAGUUUUGCUCUUGUUGCCCAGGCUGGAGUGCAAUGGCAUGAUCUCAGCUCACCACAACCUCUGCCUACUGGGUUCAAGUGAUUCUCCUGCCUCAGCCUCCUGAGUAGCUGGGAUCACAGGCAUGCGCCACCACGUCUGGCUAAUUUUUGUAUUCUCAGUAGAGUUCGUGUUUCUCCAUGUUGGUCAGGCUGGUCUCUAACUCCUGACCUCAGGUGAUCCACUCGCCUCAGCCUCCCAAAGGGCUGGGAUUACAGGCAUGAGCCACUGUACCCAGCCAAGUUAAGUAUUAUAUACUUAACUAGAUGCCAGGCGAUGCAUUAAAUCAUAUACAUGACUCACUUACUUAAUCCUCGUGACAAUUCUAUAAGACAGGUUUUUUUAAUUUGAAUUUUAUUUCUUUAUUUGUUUUUAACUACGGCACAAAGUUCAAGAGAUAUAAAGAGUAUACUGUGAAAAGUCCCUACCCUUUUCCUUCAGCACCUGAAUAUCCUCUCUAGAGAGAAAUCUUACUUGUGCAUUAUUCUAGAGAUAUUCUUUUCAUAAAAGCAUGUAUGUAUGUGAGGGGGGUAGUAUUUUGUUUCUUUUUGUUUGUUUGCUUUUUGAGACGGAGUUUCGCUCUUGUUACCCAGGCUGGAGUGCAAUGGCGCGAUCUCGGCUCACCGCAACCUCCGCCUCCUGGGUUCAGGCAAUUCUCCUGCCUCAGCCUCCUGAGUAGCUGGGAUUACAGGCACGCGCCACCGUGCCCAGCUAAUUUUUCGUAUUUUUAGUAGAGACGGGGUUUCACCAUGUUAACCAGGAUGGUCUCGAUCUGUUGACCUCGUGAUCCACCCGCCUCGGCCUCCCAAAGUGCUGGGAUUACAGGCUUGAGCCACCGCGCCCGGCCGAGUAUUUUGUUUCUUUUUCUACACAAAUGGCAGCAUAUCAUACAUACAGUUCUGCAUCCAGUUGUCCCCUCUCAGCAUUAUCUUGAAGACUUUACUAUCAGUAUACAGAGUUGCCUUACUCUUUUUAACUUCUGCACAUUGUUCUAUUUUAUAGAUAUAUCAACAUUUAGUUAACCAGUUCCCUGCCGAUGGACAUUUAGAUUGCUAUCUUUUGCUAUUUAUCGACAUGAUAUAAUGCUGUAGUGAAUAUCCUUCUACAUGUGUGAAAACAUCUGUAGGAUAAAUUUCCAGACGUAUCAUUCAUCCAGACGUAUGCUUUUUUGUAUACAUGGGUAUAAUGAAGAUCCCUCUCUCGUCUUUUCAGAAAAUGUUUUUGAAAACACAGGGGAGGGAGGUCCUGGUACCCAAAGUAGAUUGAUACUGUAUUUUGCAUCUAUUUAAAAAGCUUUCAAGUAUGAAAUGCUGCUUGAGUGUAAAAGUAGGCAAGGUAAUUGAUGCAACUGAAAGGAGAUUCAAAUAUUCCUUAGAAUAGUGAAAUAAAUGCCUUUUAAUUGUGGGGGUUGAGUGUUUCCCUCAUCAUUUCUACCCCUGGCAAUAUAAAAAUCCAGACAUUUAUAUCUAUACAUUCAUUAGACUAUAAUUCUAUCUUUCCAAGGACUUUAAUUAUUCACCAUCAUUGUAAAACAAAACCAAAAAACUUAACAGAGGAGGUGAAAAUGAGGAAGGGAAGCAAAACUUUCCCAUUAAGCAGCAAUAAGUUAAGCUAUAAGUGAAUGCAUAAAUGCCUAUACACCUAGAGGUAAUUUUGAAUUUAGACCAGUAGUUCUUAGUUAUUUGACCUGUCUCCAUGCAGUUUCUUAACACAGCUGUUCUGUUUUUAAAAAGACUUUUUAAGAGCAUUUAGGUUCACAGCAAAAUUGAGCAGAAAGUCAGAGAGUUCCCAUAUACCCUCUGCCCGCUCCCAGGCAUAGCUUCCCCAACUAUCAACAACCUGCAUCAGAGUGGUACAUUUGUUACAACGAGUCAGUAAGCCUACACGGAUGUAUCUUUAUCACCCAAAGUCCAUAGUUUACAUUUGGGUUCCCUCUUGGUGUUACACAUUCUAUGAGUUUAGACAAAUGUAUAAUGAUGUGUAUCCAUCAUUGUAGCAUCAUACAGAAUGAUUUCAUGGCCCUAAAAAUCUUCUGUGCUUUGCCUAAUUAUCCCUCUCUUCUCCCAGUCCCUGGCAACCACUGAUCAUUUCACUGUCUCCGUAUUUUUCCUCUUCCAGAAGGUCAUAUAUUCCAGAAGGAAUCAUACAGUAUAUAGCCUUUUCAGAUUGGCUUCUUUCACUUAGCAACAUGCAUUUCAGCUUCUAUCAUAUGUUCUCACGGUUUGAUCACUCAUUUCUUUUUAGCACUGAAUAAUAUUCCAAUGUCUGGAUGUACCACAGUUUAUUUACCCACUCACCUACUGAGGAACAUCUUCAAAACUGCUUCCAAAAUUUGGCAAUUACAAAUAAAGCUGCUAUAAAUGCCUGUGUGCAGGUUUUUGUGUAGAUACAAGUUUUCAAUUCCUUUAGGUAAAUACUAAGGAGUGCAAUUGCUGGAUUGCAUGGUAAAAAUGUUUAGUUUUGUAAGAAACUACCAAACUGUCUUCUAAAGUAGCUGUACAAUAUUGCAUUCCUACCAGCAAUGAAUCAGAGUUCCUUUUGCUCCACAUCCUCAUUAGCAUUUGGCAUUACCAGUGUUCUGAAUUUUGGCCAUUUUAAUAGAUCUGUAGCAGUAUCACAAAUUGUUUUAAUUUGCAUUUCCCUAAUGACAUAAGAUGUUGAGCAUCUUUUUAGAUGCUUAUUUGACAUCUAUGUAUCUUCUUUGGUGAGUUGUCUGUUCGUGUCUUUUUUCCACUUUUUAGUUAGGUUGUUUGUGUUCUUAUUAAGUUUCAAGAGUUCUUUUCAUAGUUUGGAUAAUAGUCCUUUAUCAUAGAGGUCUUGUGCAAAUAUUUUCUCUCUGUCUGCAGUUUGUCUUCUCAUUCUUUUGAUACAAUUGUUUUUAACAUUUGAGAAAAUUGAGGCUCUAAGAAGUUUCACUACUCAAGGCACAUACUAGGAAAAAGCAAAGACAGGACUUUAACUCUGUUCUUACCAUCAUUCCAUGUUGUAUUUCCUAGGGUUUAUUUGAAAAAGGAGACACAAUACAGACAGAAAAGAAACAAAACCAAAUGCCAACCACCACUGCAACCACUCUGGUUAUGGAAAAAGGAAACUGCACACCCUCACAUUCUCUUACCCCACAAAUCCUCUCCGACAUCUUUUCUCUUACCAUGUUUCAGUUAUCAUCUAUAUGCUGAUAACUGACAAAUCUCUAUAUUUACAGCCCUGAUCUCUCAGAUCUAUAUACCUAAUUGCCUAUUGGAUAUCUCCACUUAUACAUCCCACAGGUUCCUCAAACAGCCUGUCCAAAACUGUACUCAUCAUCUUACCCCCCAAACCUGCCCUUCUUCCUCUAGGAUUAUCUGUUUCAGAAACCUGGAAGUCACCCUGAGAUCACUUCCUCCUAUCCUACCACUUCAUGUGCAGAAACAGCCCCAAUAUAUAAUUCUGUGUUCUCCAUCCAAUGAUCCCAUCAUUUUCCUCCUAUUCAGGAACAUUUUCCUAGUUUUCUUUUCCUCAUUUUUCUAGCCUAGAUUUCCUGUCCAUCUUGAUAAUGACUCCUAGAAACACCUUCACUCAAUGAUCAAUGGUCUAGACAAAAGCAAGCAAACACCACCACCCUCACUCCCUUCAUUAUUUUUCCCAGGCAAAACCUCAAUCCUGAUGGCACAUACCAAUCUAUUAAUUCCAUGUUUGGGCCCAAGAAGUUACAUGUUGCAAGAGAAAAACCAUGUGACUAAGCUGACAGGUUUCAUGUUAAAAAUCACCUUCCCAAACAUCUAAAGAGCAUCAAUAGUUCUUCAGUUAUCUUACGAAGUUUCUUUAGUAGGCACAUACUCCCCUAUCCCCUCCCAGGAAGAAUAUUGCAUGUUUGUCUCCUCAACUUUCACCUUCUUCCACCUUCACUUUCAGGUGGCAGCCUUAUAUAGAAAAAAGAAAUAAAAAAGAAAACAGAAAAAUGUCUAAUGUAAACUCUCUCCUUUUCCAACUACUAGGUAUAGCUCAUUUGCACAGCUUCCUUCUUACCCUCUCUCACUGAAGGAAGGAUUGCUUCUUUUUUGUGUGUGUUUGAAACAGUCUUGCUCUGUGGCCCAGGCCGGAGUGCCUGAUCUCAGCUCACUUUGACCUCUGCCUCUUGGGUUCAAGUGAUUCUCCUGCCUCAACCUCCCAAGUAGCUGGGAUCACAGACGCCCAUCACCAUGCCUGGAUAAUUUUUGUAUUUUUAGUAGAGAUGGGGUUUCACCAUCUUGGCCAGGCUGGUCUCAAACUCCUGACCUCAGGUGAUCCACCCGCCUCGUCCUCCCAAAGUGCUGGGAUUACAGGCAUAAGCCACUGCGUCCAGUUGAAGGAAGGAUUUCUAUUUGUGCUCUAGUCUGUUCCCUGCCAAGUUCUUAAGGACUCUCUUUUUUUUUCCUCCCCACUUCCCAUCCCUCUUUUUUUUUUUGAGAUGGAGUCUCACUCUGUUACCCAAGCUGGAGUGCAGUGGCACGAUCUCAGCUCACUGCAACCUCCUCCUCCUGGCUUCAAGCAAUUCUCCUGCCUCAGCCUCCUGAGUAGCUGGCGCAUGCCACCACACCUGGUGGCUAAUUUUUUGUAUUUUUAGUGAGAGAGGGGUUUUCACCAUGUUAGCCAGCAUGGUCUUGAUCUCCUGACCUCAUGAUCUGCCUAUCUUGGCCUCUCAAAGUGCUGGGAUUACAGGCAUGAGCCACCACGCCCAGGCCCCGCCCCUCUUAAGGACUCUUUCCACAUUACCUGGUCCCUUACUUAGCUCUCCAAUCCCCACCCCCACCACUCACUCCUUUGCUCACUUUACUCCAUCGACAGUAUUUCCAACUUAGACUUCACACAUACUGCCACCUGCUUUGUUUCCUUUGUAACACUUAGAAUUUUUGGUUACUUCAGUUUACCUUGCUUCUCUUUUGUUUCUGACUCGUCUCACCACCACCACAGCCCAAGGCAACCACUGAUCUGUUCUGUUACUACAGAUAGAUUUGCCUUUUAUGGAAUGUCAUGCAAAUCAUGUGGAAUCAUAAAAUAAAUACUCUUUUAUAUCAUCUAGCUUCUUCCACUUAAUGUUUUUGAGAUUCAUCCAUAUUGUUCCAUGUGUAGUUCUUUUUUACUGCUAGCACUUUACAUGGGUGUACCAUACUUUAUUAUCCAUUCACUUUUUUUUUUUGAGACAGUUUCACUCUGUCACCCAGGCUGGAGUGCAAUGGCAUGAUCUCAGCUCACUGCAACUUCCAUGUCCUGGGUUUGAGUGAUUCUCCUGCCUCUGCCUCCCAAGUAGCUGGGACUACAGGCGCAUGCCACCAUGCUUGGCUAAUUUUUUGUAUCUUUAGUAGAGAUGGAGUUUUACCAUUUUGGCCAGGCUGUUCUUGAACUCCUGACCUCAUGAUCCACCUAUCUCAGCCUCCCAAAAUGCUGCAAUUACAGGCGUGAGCCAUUGCACCCGGCCUUCCAUUCACUUAUUGGUAGACAUUUGGUGUUGUUUCUACUUUGGGGUCAUUAUGAAUCAACUGCCUUGGACACUGGUGUACAGGUCUUCAUGUGAACAACGGGCUUCAUUUUCUUGGGUAAAUUCAUAAGGAAGGGUGGAACAGCUGGGUCACCUGUUAAGUAUAUAUUAAACUUAUAAUAAACUGUUUUCCACCAGCAAUGCAUGCUCAUUACAAUUGUCCCACAUCCUCAUCAGUAGUAGCUACUGUUACUCUUAAUUUUAGCCAUUCUAGCAGGCGUGCAGUAUCUUACUGUGGUUUUAAUUUGCACUUCUCUCAUGAUAUUGAGUAUCUUAUGUGCUUACUGGUAUUCAUGUAGUAUCUCUGGGGUUAUGUGUGUUCAAAUCAUUUGCCCGUUUAAGAAACUGGAUUGUUCAUCUUAUUACUGAGUUGUAAGAUUUAUUUAUAUGAAUUCUAAAUACCAGUCAUUUUUCUGGUAUAUGUAUUGUGAAUAUUUUCUCCUAGUCUGUGGCUUGCCUUUUUAUUUACUUACCUGUGUCUUUCUUUUCUUUUUUGAGACGGAAUCUUGCUCUGUCACCCAGGCUGGAGUGCAGUGGCACAAUCUCGGCUCAUUGCGACCUCUGUCUCCCAGGUUCAAGCGAUUCUUCUGCCUCAGCCUCCCGAGUAGCUGGGACUACAGGCACGCACCACCACGCCCAGCUAAUUUUUGUAUUUUUAGUAGAGACAGGGUUUCACCAUAUUGGCCAGGCUGGUCUCAAACCCUUGACCUCAUGAUCUGCCCGCCUCAACUUCCCAAAGUGCUGGGAUACAAGCGUGAGCCACCAUGCCCAGCCCUAAACAUUUCAUUUUAGAGUAUUUUUUGUGUGCAAAGAAAGUUUUGUCUACCACAAGGUCAUGAAGAUUUUCUCCUGUUUUCUUCUAGUCUAUGAUCCAUUUUGAGUUAAUUUCUAUACUUGGAAUGAGAUCAGAAACAAAGUUCACUUUCCCCCCAAAAAGAUAUCUAAUUGUUCCAGCACCACUUGCUGAAAAAAAAAAUUUCCCCACAGAAUUAUCUUGGCUUCUUUUUCAAAAUCCAGUUCAUUAUAUUUGUAGAGGUCUAUUUCUGGACUCUAUUUCCCAUUGCUCUAAGCUCCCCCUCUCCUUUUCUUAAGUAUUAAGCACAAAAUAGUCUUCAAAAUUAUAACUGAUAACAGGGAAAGUAAGUUAAUUGUCCAUAUAUCCCUAACAAAGUGACAUCAGCAUGAAGAUUUUAUUCCUAUUAAAAUGCAGGACAAAUAAGAAACAUAUGAAAAUUAAUGGUAAGUUCAUCAUAAACAGACCACUAAAAACAAACAAUAUCCUGGUGCCCUCUAGUGGGAGGAAACUGUAAGGAUAUGCCAAACAAAGGAGCUAAUAAACACUACUCACAGAAAUACUGAAUACCAACAAAUUUGACCAAUAUUUCCAUGCAUUCUACUCACAUUUUUUAAUAUCAAAAAAGUUUUUUAAGACAGAAAAAUUUUAAACAAAAACGGAAAAUGUUUUGCUGUUUUAAGCAACUUUAAUCCAAUGUGAAUGCAAUGAAAUAGAAAAUUGGAGUGACAAACAAAACAGGUAUUUGGAAUUUAUAUCUCCAUAGUGUACUUCCCUAUACAAAGGAAAUGGGGCCAGAAGCCAAAGGAAAAGAGGUAAGAUUUUACAUAAUUAAAAGUAGAUGAAAUUGUUUCAAGAUACAUAGUAUGAAUGCAUUAUCAAGACAUAUGUUAAUAUAUACUUGCAUGUAACACAUAAUAUGUAAUUUUAUAUACAUAUACACCAAAUUUUUCUAGAAUGAAGCACAAGAUGAUGUCAACAAUGAUUGCCUGUGAAAAGCAGGGGUGAGUAGGGAGAAAGGGAGGAUUUACAUAUCCCUUAUUUUAAACAUGUGAAAUAAAUGCUCUUAUUUUAAAAUGUAGGUCUACCAUUUUGAAACAAUCUAAUGGUAAUUUUGUAUGCUUACACAUGAACUCCCAAAAUAGGUGGCAAGUGAAUAAUGCUUUGUUCAGAACAGUGUGUUCCCACGGUUGAUUAUAAUUAACUAACCCUUGUUAAGUCCCUCAAGGUACAAAGCUAUGUAGCCGCAUUCUGUAACACACAGAAGGGAGACAGAUAACUACAAGACCCCUCAUCUUUUAAUUGGAAGUUCUUAGUGUAUUCACCUACCUUUUUCUUCUUUGUUCCUAUAUUAAAAGAAGGGGUCUCUCUCCUCAUUAUCAUCUCCUUCAAACUACCUCCCUACCCCAAAUAUUUUUAAAACCUAUUAUUCUGGUCACUCACGUUCAAAACUGAGUCAUAAUUCUUACUCUCCUUCCAAAAAUGUUCUUUGUUUCUUCUAAAUAUUAUCUUUGCGUUAAUGGGGAGGAGUCUAAGAAGACUUGGGUGAGUGAUGAUACCAACAAGUAACAGGAAUACUCCAACACUGACGUCCCUCCCCAACUCUCCUGUAUUUUGCAUAUAAUUUCCUCAGUCUAAAAUGCCUGCUCUGUCUCCUUUUUAUUUACGCUUUCUACUUACUUUCUGUUCUCCUUCUCUUUUUUUAAUGCCAAAGUACAUGCUGCUUCCCACAAAAAGCUUUACCUUUAUAUCCCUUGGAGAUAAAAUAUUCUUCUGAGUGGUUUAAUGGUUGUAAUUACUGCCUGUACCACUUAGCAGACUUGUAGUCCAUGCUCCUUUACACUGAUAUUCUUCUCUUUAAGCACUUGCUCAUUUUUCCCAAGUGCUGGUAAAUUCUCAAGACUGUGGACAGAUCAUACAGUUUGUUUUAUUUCUACUAUCUUUCCCAAAUAGGUUUCACAUGAAUAGGUUUCUACAAACCUAAUCCCAAAUAGGUUUCACAUGAGUGUGUUAUUCCCACCCAAGAAAUUCACAGGAAUUCCUCAAGAAAGUUUUGGGAACAAUAGUCGCUUUUACUGCUAUCAAAGACUUAUACAUACACAGUCCUCCAUCUGGUAAAUGGUACCAAAGAAUUACAUGCUGUGCUUUUAGUUAAUUCUAAUGAAGGGGUUCAGUGUAUGCUACCCUAGAAUAUGCUACCCUGGCAUAAGAAUUAUUUUGCGCUGUAGGCAGUUGAGAAAAAGCAGAUGCAGGACAAGUUCUCUGCCUCCCUGCCCCCAUCUACCUUUCAUUUACCUUUGCGAAAGUGUCCCCCAAGCACUUCCCUUACCAGGAAGGAAAUUUUUAUUUUUAUUUAUUUAUUUAUUUAUUGUAGGAAGGGAGGAAGGGAGGAAGGGAGGA